GCUUUCAUAUCUGAAUUCAAAUUACUGCUUAAUGCAACAUUACAUCUGUAUGUAUUGUUUUUAGGGUUAUUCAAAAUGAAGUACGAUAAAUUCAGCAUGUGUUUUUUUUUUUUUUUGGCAACACAGUAUAUUAAGACAGCUUGGAAAGUUCAAUUUACUUCGCUUCGUAAAAUUGAAAUCUCUAUAAAAACGUCAGUCCCUGAAAUAUAUGGUCCAAUAUAAGAAGAAAACACAGGUUUAAUUAAUCAAACUAAAAUAAUGGUUAAUGGGGUCUAGAAAACACCUGGGCAAUUUUAAAUAAACACAAAUUUUAACUGUGGUGCAAUAUGCAUUUGCUUUUUCCUUCCCCCCAAAAAAUUAAAAUGAAGCACGUUAACGUCUGUUAACACAAUGGAUGUAUAAGAGGGCUUCUAAACACCUUACAUGUUACAUGACAAAAACAACUAGCAAUGCUGAGAUAAGACUUAAUUUGUGGUUUAACUGUCAAAGGAAGAGCACAUUGUAGAACAGGGUUAGGCAACCUUGAGCACUCCAGAUGUUAUGGACAACAUCUCCCCUGUUGCUUUGCCAGUAUGAUGGCUGUUAGAGCAUUAUAUGAGACGUAAUCCACAACAUCUGGAGUUCUGAAGGUUGCCUACCCCAGUUCUAGGAUAAAAUAGAAAAGCUUGCAAGAUAACAGAGUUAUACAUAUUUUUUACUUGGCUCUUUGGCCUAAAAUUUGCAUUUGCCCUCUCAAUUCUCUGUGAUUCCUUGUUUAGUGAAUUGCCCUGUCUGUUCCUUGGAGAAGAACAUUCAAAGAUGGGAGAAAGUAACUUUAGCAAUGAAUAUGUCUUGAUGAGACUCAAGAUAUUUACUCAAUAUAUGAGAAGCUGUGCGCAAGAUUUAUAAAGCAGAGCAACAAGACAUUAUUUCAGGAUCCCUGGACCAUCAUAUAUUAUUCUACUAACGUCUUGGCAUCCUAGGUGGGGAUGUACCAACGAAGUUUAAUGAAUUGGGCAAAACCUAACUUUUGAGCUAGUAGAUUUUUAUAAAUUUGCAC